rnacentral:rRNA from 1 species
UACGUAGGGGGCAAGCGUUGUCCGGAUUUAUUGGGCGUAAAGAGCGUGUAGGCGGCCUUUUAAGUCCUGCGUGAAAUCCUGCGGCUCAACCGCAGACGGUCGUGGGAAACUGGAAGGCUAGAGUGCGGGAGAGGAGAGUGGAAUUCCCGGUGUAGCGGUGAAAUGCGCAGAUAUCAGGAGGAACACCAAUUGCGAAGGCAGCUCGCUGGGACGUUACUGACGCUGAGACGCGAAAGCGUGGGGAGCAAACAGG